AAAAGAUGGCUGAAGUAAGAGGAGAUUCGUACCGACUUUUUGUUGUCUGUUCAAGACACGUUGUUAGUCAAGAACUCCAUCUUUAUAAGAAAGCAGUACAAAAAAAUGAAAUGCAUAUUCUUAAAAAAGAAAUAUAACAGUCGAUGUUGAAGUCAAGAGCGGCAAUCUUAGUUAUGAGAAAUUCAAUGGUAAACCACGGUAGUGAAUU